rnacentral:lncRNA from 1 species
CCACCAUCUUAGAUAAACUAUUUUUUUAAGAAUAUGACGUUCUGACUCACAAUCAUAUUGUGAUCUUAUGGAAAUUAAAAGUAUCCCAUUGAUUCUUUUGAAUACUCUAUAAAGCGAGCUAUUAUAGAUCUAUCCUCUAAUUUAUCAGUCAUCUGUCUCUUGACAUAGACUGGACUCCUCAAGUCUUAAGAUAACCUAGACUUGACUUCUUACCAUACCAUAUCUCAUAUGGUG